UACAGAGGUCCCGAGCGUUGUUCGGAUUCACUGGGCGUAAAGGGUGCGCAGGUGGGUUUGCAAGUUUGAUGUGAAAGCCCCGGGCUUAACCCGGGAAUGGCAUUGAAUACUGCAGAUCUGGAGGAUUGGAGGGGGGACUGGAAUUCUUGGUGUAGCAGUGAAAUGCGUAGAUAUCGGGAGGAACACCAGUGGCGAAGGCGACUACCUGGCCUGUUCUUGACGCUGAGGCGCGAAAGCUAGGGGAGCAAACGGG
rnacentral:rRNA from 1 species